rnacentral:lncRNA from 10 species
CAGCGGCUGGAGAGGCUGCCCUGGGUGUGCGGGCCCUGGAGGCAGGUCUGCUCGCUGGGCCUUUGCAAGGUGUGGUUCAGAGCUGGGGCUGCAGGGAGGGCCAUGGGGAGGACCCCUCCUAUCCUUCACAGUGGUGACGAUGACAGCAGGCUGUCUACAGAACAGAGCCACAGACCCUGGUGGGGUCUGCCCUGCAUGCAUGCUGCUGCUUGCUGCGGUGAGGUCCGCGUACUCUGCCCCACUGCCACACACACCACGUGGCUGUCUCCUUCACUAGGUCUGUGUCUGCGUCUUCCCUGCAGGAUGUCCUGUCCUUGUGCCGGCCGGCCCACCGGCCGCCUCCUGCUCUCCAAGGUGGUGAGACGUGAAACGCCACAGGCAUCCCUGCCACCUGCCGCGGGUUUGUGUCUGCACACAUGGUGCCCUGUCCUGGGAUGUGCGGCUGCCCCUGCAGGAGUCACACCCCGCAUGGCCCAGCUUGUCUUUUCCUUGCUAGGCAGCCAAAGCUGUGUCGAAGGCCUGUGGCACAGCCCAGCGCCCUCAGAUCCGGUGGCUCUGUGUCCUGCCGGCACCUGCGGUGGAGAGCAGGGUUUGCUGAGGUGGGGAGGCGGCUGCCUGGGCAAGGCCCAGGCGUCCCAGGCCCCGGGAGCUGAGUGGGGCCAAGGUCCCCGGCUGUGCACAGAACACGGAUUUCUGGUGGCCCAAGGAGCUCCUACAGGAAACCGUGGGACAAGCCUGGUUCAAUGUGAAUUCUGGGCCUCCUGCCGGCCCCCAGCCCUCCUAGGAUGUUACCUGCAGCCCUGCAGACAAAUGCCUUGAAAAUCCCAAACCAGAGGCAGCCAAGUAUGAAACCAGCUCCCGGAGAUGGAAAAGAGGACAGGCCCCGCUCCUGUUUUAUCCGAUACCAAAGGAGAGAUCGCUUGACAUUUGAGAAAACAGCAUGUGCGGCUUACACGCCCGCUCCUGGGAAGGCAC